GGCUCUGUGGCGCAAUGGAUAGCGCAUUGGACUUCUAGCUGGGGAAGACAUUCAAAGGUUGUGGGUUCGAGUCCCACCAGAGUCG
rnacentral:tRNA from 1 species